CGAUAAUGUGACAAAGACGAAGGAUUGC
rnacentral:sRNA from 1 species